GCGGCUCCUGCUGAAAUCCGGGAGUUUCCUCCCGGAACAUUGGAAUUCCAGGGUUUUUUGGCCGCAAUUCCCGAAUUUUCCUGGGGGAUUGGAGGUGUUCCCGAUGAUUUUGGGGCGUUUCCCCACUGGAAUUUCCCGAAUUUUGGGGUUUCCGGGCAUUUCCCGCCGGGGUUUUCCUCCUCCUGCUGCUCCUGCCGGGAAUUCCCGCCGGGAUUUGGGAUUUUGGGCUGGAAUCUGCUGGAUUUUGGGGUUUUGGCCCCAAGAGCUGCGAGUUUGGGUCGGAAUCCGUCGAGAUUCGGGAUUUUGGGUCGGAAUCCGUCGAGAUUUGGGAAUUUGGGUCGGAAUCCGUCGAGAUUUGGGAAUUUGGGUCGGAAUCCGUCGAGAUUUGGGAUUUCAUCCUGGAAUCCGCUGGAUUUUGUAAUCCUGAUCUCCAGAGCUGCGAGUUCGGCUCGGAAUCCGUCAAGAUUUGGGAUUUUGGGUCAGAAUCCGUCAAGAUUUGGGAUUUUGGGUCGGAAUCCGUCGAGAUUUGGGAUUUUGGGUCGGAAUCCGUCGAGAUUUGGGAAUUUGGGUCGGAAUCCGUCGAGAUUUGGGAAUUUGGCUCAGAACCCUCCGGAUUUCGGAAUCCCGGCCCCAGGAGCUGCAAGUUUGGGUCAGAACCUUCCGGAAUUGGCCAUUUCGGCUCGGAACCGUCUGGAAUUUGGGAUUUUGUUCUGGAAUCCGCUGGAUUUCGGAACCCCGGCCCCAGGAGCUGCGAGUUUGGGUCAGAACUGUCCGGAAUUUGGGAUUUAUGCUCAGAAUCCAUUGAGAUUUGGGACUUUGUUCUGCAAUCCGCUGGAUUUUGGAUUCUUGACCCCAAGAGCUGUGAGUUGGGCUCGGAAUCCAUUGAGAUUUGGGAUUUUGUCCCAGGACCCUCCGGAAUUUGGGAUUUCAGCCGGGAAUCCGCGGGAUUUGGGAAGCCCGGCCCCAGGAGCUGAGAGUUCACCCCAGGACCCUCCGGAAUUUGGGAUUUCAGCCGGGAAUCCGCGGGAUUUGGGAAGCCCGGCCCCGGGAGCUGUGAGUUCACCCCGGG
rnacentral:lncRNA from 1 species